rnacentral:lncRNA from 1 species
UGGGGUUGAUCUUUGUGGCUGCAAGAAUUUCUGGGACUGAGGUUUGUUUUCUUUUGGCUGGAAAUUUGUUGGAGGUGUUUAAAACGUGAUGCUUCCAAAGUAGUUCAUUAAGGUUUGGGGAGAAAUUGAUUGGUCUGAACCCACAUUGAUGACCACUCAAUAUUUCCUGAGUUGGCCUGAACAAGGUCGAAUUAGAAUAGAGUGGAAAUAGGAUCGAGUCUGCAGAUUAAAGGGGUGGGUCAUGGUCCUGGCUCUUCUCUGCUGUGAUCUUAGAACAAGCCUGUUCUCUCUCUGGUCUCAGUUCCCCAUCUGUAAAACGAGAGAUGAGUUGGAGGCUGUUGGUUGCAUCCCUGAUGUUCAUUUCCCCAUUUCCUUUCCCAGCAGCCCCUGAUGUCUCUUGGCAGGGGUGGGUUAUGCUCUGCUGGGGCUGUCUCUGUCAUCGUUUCUGGGGUGGGAUGCAUGAUCUGGACCAAGCCCACACCUCAUCCCAUCUCUCUGGCUACAGUGAUGGUCAUGUUUCCUAAGGCAACGGAGCCAGAGGGAAUUUCAAGACUUUCUCUGGAAAUGUUGAAUAAAGGCUCUUUUUAUUCACCUUGCUAGAUGUCAACGAAGAAGUAGGUAAUCUUGGAUCUUGACAGUGGCUGUCUUGGAAAUCCUAGAGGGGACCCCUCCCAGCAUGAAGCUGACAACUGAAGGGAGAGUCAGGAGGCAGAAGGAAACCAGAUCCUUGGUGAUGCUGUUUACCAAUCCAGUGGAUGAGUUGAGAAACGGCAUCCAGUCUUUAAGGCACCAUCAUGUCAUGGACCUCCCUGGUGGCUCAGAUGGUAAAGGGUCUGCCUACAAUUCAGGAGACCCGUGUUCAAUCCCUGGGAUGGGAAGAUCUCCUGGAGAAAGAAAUGGCAACCCACUCGUAUUCUUGCCUGGAAAAUCCCAUGGACGGAGAAGCCUGAGAUGUCUAUGGAACAGUUGCCAGAAACCAACAAACCGAGGACUGGAAAGAAAGCGAGCUGAAUGCCAUCCAGAAGAUCAUCUUGCCAGUACUGCUCAGCUUGUAAAAACCAUCUUGGCCAAACCCCUGCGAUUUCAUCCAGAACAAAUAAUAAAAAGCAGUGUGCAAUAUUUCUAGGAUGAGCAUAUUCAUAGUAAAUAUUUUAAGAUCAAUGGCUGCACAAAAUGCAUUUUCCUUGGAGUUUCACUUUUCAAAUGCCUUUGUAUUAAAAGUGCAAUUUCAAUAAAUAUUCAUGGGGAAAUUCACUGAUGUGUUUUACCAUUUACAGCUAAAAUUUGUAAGGUUCUGGGGGUGGGGGGGAAGAUGUAUGAUGCAUAUUUUACCCUCUUGGGAGAAAAGUGGUGAAAAAUGUGUGAUACGCUUUUGUUUUUUCUGACAAUAAACCCUCUGAGGCGGGGAGCUAGC